GCGCGUGCCCAGUAUUCAUCUCUUUUAGCCACCCAGAGAGAGAGAAGAGGAUAAUCCCAGCGACAUCUGUGGCUCUGAGGCUUUCAGAAAUAAUCCGGUGAAAUAAUAUGAUGUUUGUUUGUGUGAAUGCUGUGUGUGCGGUGAGUCCUGCG